rnacentral:tRNA from 1 species
AUCAAAAUAGUUUAUAUGAAUAGUAUAUUGAAGAUAUAAAGGUGAAUUUUUGGUUUAUUAGAUA